CCAAGGGGAGUCCCGCAAGGGGCUGAGAUACGGCUGGCAAGCGCAGCGCCGUGACCCUUCGAACCUGAUCCGGAUCAUGCCGGCGAAGGGAUGGGGAAGUUU
rnacentral:ncRNA from 1 species